rnacentral:rRNA from 1 species
AUCAUCAAAUCUUUGAACGCACCUUGCACCUUUUGGUAUUCC